AGUUUAAAGAAAUCUUUUUAAAUGUGUCCUGCCCAGUGUUUUUAUAAAUGGCCGCAGUACCCUGACUGUGCAAAGGUAGCAUAAUCAAUUGGCUUUUAAUUAGAGUCUGGAAUGAAAGGAUUUAUGAAAAGAAACUGUCUUAAAAAUAUUUAAUUUAAUUUAUUUAUUAGGUGAAAAUACCUAUAUAUAGAAAAAAGACGAGAAGACCCUUAGAAUUUUUAUAAUAUAUUUUUAAAUAUUUAUUUUUGUUGGGGCGACAAUUAAGCAUUUAAACCUUAAUUUUUUUUUAAAACGAAAUUGUUAUAAAAGAUUAAAUUACCUUAGGGAUAACAGCAUUAUUUAUAAAAGUUUGUGACCUCGAUGUUGGACUAGGAACUUUAUGGCUAGCAGUCUAAAAAGAUUUGUUCUGUUCGAACAAUUAAAUCCU
rnacentral:rRNA from 1 species